ensembl:lncRNA
UGUUGGCACUAUGUGAUGACUGCCUUGUGCCCAGCUGCCGAGCGCAGUUACCAUGCCCAGAUGGCGGCUCAGGGUCGUGUGGCGGCAGAGCCCUGCGUUCAUUGUUGGAGUGAUGGAUUUGGUUGUUCAGAUGUUUACUAAGCAUCUCUCCUGUGCCAGGUCCUGCGCCCUGUGCGACUCAGGCACAAAGACUGGGAAUUUCUGGGGAGCUGAACCAGGCGGACAGGAUUUGGAACCUGGGAGCGAUUCUCUUUGUCCGAAGCGGCCUCUCACCAGUCCAAUCCAGUGUGUAGGUUAAUAAGGCUUAAACUUUAAAGGCAGGGUGAACAUCUGAUUGACAAGCUGCUGAAUGAGAGUCCAGGGGGAAGUUCUGGGCUUGGAAAGUGCCCCGCUUCCUGAGAUGCAGCUGAAUUUUAAAGAGCCCCGGGCUCGCCACCUCCAGAGGCCGACUGGCACUGCUCAGCCCGCUUCCAGCUGGUCUCGGAAUCAGCACCGGAAGUGCUGCCUGGAAGAAUCACUCUUGUCCCCCAAUGAAAGGUGACUCAGGCUGGGAUCGAUCGCAAGUCAGCGUGAUCAGCUCCGAGGUGACCCUGCUCAGCCUUGGGCCAGGCUCAGUCCCGAUCCCCACCAGGAGCCCCCAGAAGCCGGGCCAGGGAAACUGUGGCUGAACAAUGAGAAAUACACGAGUGGCUGCAUCUCCACCUUCAGAGCUGUUUGGAUACCAAAUGAGUUACUUCAAGCAGAGCAGAGCUUGGUCUACAGCAAGCUGUUGAUGUCAGUGGACCACAUCUCCACGAAUGCUGCGCUGCACAACAAGCAGAGGUUGGCAUCCUCCUUGGUAGUUAAGCUCCUGUGAUAUCGUGAAAUACAUAUGUGGUCUGCUUCCCUCCAAGAAUCCUCCAAAAUGCGAGGGUCUUAUUUUCGGGGACACAGCACCUGGCCGUGACUGCUCUGGCCCCGGGCACCCAGUCUGGGUGAGGAGCGAGUCCUCCUGCCCUGCCUGCUCUCUGUACCAGUGACUUUCUCCUGGAACCUUCCUUGGUGGUCUGACUUCAGCAUCCUGUGCGUCCAGGCUGAGACUCAGUGACACAUGGGCAGAUGGCCUGAAGCCGAACAGACAGCAGGAGUGUACGUUUAUCAAAUUUGGGCUGGAAAGACCCUGUGCCCCAGCAGAGGCUGUCAUACAGCUGUCACAGAGGAGCAUAUGGGUCCAGCGGUGGGACCCGGCCA